AGCCAGACACUCCUAUCCCUACCUCCUCGCGGUACUAGCCGGGUACGAGUAACCUUGCGGAAGAUCGGGUAGUCAACCCCGGUGGGAACUCUGGUCGUAUGCUGACAGGGAAGG
rnacentral:ribozyme from 1 species